rnacentral:rRNA from 1 species
AGUUUGAUUAUGGCUCAGGAUGAACGCUAGCUACAGGCUUAACACAUGCAAGUCGAGGGGCAGCAUUGGAGUAGCAAUACUCAGAUGGCGACCGGCGCACGGGUGAGUAACACGUAUCCAACCUGCCGCUUACUCGGGGAUAGCCUUUCGAAAGAAAGAUUAAUACCCGAUGGUAUAAAGAGUUCGCAUGUUCUCUUUAUUAAAGAAUUUCGGUAAGCGAUGGGGAUGCGUUCCAUUAGAUAGUUGGCGGGGUAACGGCCCACCAAGUCUACGAUGGAUAGGGGUUCUGAGAGGAAGGUCCCCCACAUUGGAACUGAGACACGGUCCAAACUCCUACGGGAGGCAGCAGUGAGGAAUAUUGGUCAAUGGACGAGAGUCUGAACCAGCCAAAAGUAGCGUGAAGGAUGACUGCCCUAUGGGUUGUAAACUUCUUUUAUAAGGGAAUAAAGUGAGGGACGUGUCCCUUUUUGUAUGUACCUUAUGAAUAAGGAUCGGCUAACUCCGUGCCAGCCGCGGC